UUCAUUUGUUUUAUAAUUAGCGAAAUCAAGGAAAAAGUUUGGAAAUUUCUCCUAGUGUGGAAGAAAGGCCUUGGAAUUCUCCACAACCUGCUUUGUCACCAAUUCAAGUUUCAAUUCCAUCUAGCACUCCUGAUUUAAUUGGGCAACCUCUUGGGUACCCACCGAAGUCCCAUAGUCGGAGUAUAACAGAUAUACCUAAUGCAGCCAUGAGCCCAGGUGGUCACCAUCAUCCUUAUCAUUUUCCGCAUCCUUAUCCAUACAUGCAUCCACCUGUUCAUCCUCCUUACUCUCAAUCGAUGGCUCAUUUGAAUUGUUCUCAAUGCAUGUCCGCUUCAUGGACAAAUCUCAUGAGCCCUCACCCAUCUCCUUAUUUCCAUCCCAUGCCAUGGGGACCUCCUCAUGCUGGCAUGCCUCAAAAUGGAGCUUCACAUUCUUCUCAUGGGACUUUAAAACAUAAUCAUGGUGAUUUAGGAACAUAUCCUGAUCCUAGUUUUCCUUAUCCCUAUCCUGGAGGAGUAUUUUAUCCAAAUGGUUUUCCAACUACUGAUCCUAAUAAUACCAAAGAUCUACCUCAACAGGCCUCUGGUUCAGCUAAAGUAAGGAGGAGUUCAUCAACUUCUAGAAGUCCAAGGCAAGCACAGAGUACUGAAGAUCUACCAUUGCUUAAUAAUCCAACCCCAGAAAGCAGCACAAAUGAAACGAAUGGAAUAACUAGAAAAAGUCCUAUUGAUAUUGCAAAACUAGCUGAUGUUGAUGAGGAAAGUAAACCACCAGUUCCACCAUCAGAGCCCUGGGGUUGUUUACAUUGCACUUUUAUAAAUCCACCAGGAAUAUACAUUUGUCAAGUAUGCUGUAAAACGAGCUACGGAAAUAAACCCCCAGGGGAUGAAGAAGACAUGAUCGAUUCACCGGCUAUAGACAGAAAUAGUGAAUCACCAAUGGAACUUGUAAAUAUGGAUGCAGAAAUAUCCUCAAAAUUUUCUAAACUAAGUGCUCAAAAGAAUGAUGAUGAUAUAUGCCAAGACAGUCUUGAAACUAGCCUAGAGAAUGAAGAGGCAUUCAAGCAAUCCGCAGAAACACCAGUGACACCUGAUCCUGCUUUGAUGCUCACAACUGAAACACAAACUUCCACCACAACGAAAUCAACAGAUGUUCAGACUCAAAAUCUCAUCUGCAAGUCAAUGGCGUCAUCAACAGAUUCCAUUUUUCCAAGGCACGAAAUGUCUGUUCAGACGGAAGUGGAAGAAAUACCCAAACACUGUUCUGUGGCAACAGACCCUAUGAUAAGCUCUCAUUCUAUUGAAUCUCUCAUGUCUGGAAUGUCUGCACCACCUUAUCACAAUAGACGAGCUGGUGGCUGGGGCCGAGGAACUAGCUUUAGUACUCAGUCUUUGUACGAGCGUGGCCGCAGUCGUAGCCCCUUGCCACGAUCUGCCUCAUUAUAUAAUGAAUCCCAAUCUCUUGGCAGAGAUUCUAGUUUACCACCUGAAGAUGUGAUGCAUGGGUUUUCUCAUCCUUGGUUAAUGACGGAUCCCAUGUAUUACAAACCUCACAAUAUGCCUGAAUAUGGAGCAACUCUGACUAAAGAAGAUUACUUUGAUGGAAUGUGGGGAUCAAUGGAUAAGUUAGAUAGAAGAAUGAAAAACAAAAAGGGUAAGAAACUAGAAGUCCAUCCAAAACAAAAGUUUCAUAGAAGUCUUGAUGAUUUAAAAAGUGAUAAAGUUCCAGAUGUUAUUCACACUCAAGAGUUACAAUUUUUACACACUGUAAAGGAAGCUGAGAGAUGUGGAUUCAGUCUGGAAGACUUGCAUGUUGCCUAUUUGCAUUGUGGGAGAGAAAAUCCAGUUAUUUGGCUUGAAGACAAUUGGUCUUCCAUGAUAAAAAAUGUUAUUGCUUUGGCUGCAAAGUAUGGGGAAGAUAAUGAGGAAAAUGAUGUUGGUACAUUAUCAAAGUCCGAAGCUAAGGAGGCACUUCAUAUUCAUCGUGGUGACAUAUGGGAUGCUGUCACUGAAUGCAUCGAAAAUCGUCAAAGAAAGAUUUUAGAGCUUACUGUGAGGGGUAACUUUACACAAAAACAAAUUUCUGAUGCCCUAGCACAUAAUGAAGGUAAUGUAGAGCUUGCCUAUGCCGAUUUAUUCCGAGCCUCAAAUAAGAGACAUAAAUUUAUCUUAAGUCCAGGUUUGAGUGAAGAUAGUGAAGAUUUAAAUUUAUCUCUCCAAAUCGAGGAGGCUGGAGACGCUUCAGCAGCUUCAAAGCGAGGAAGGUUAAAUGCAUCUCCUGAUCCAAGAACUGAAAAGAAAAAAUCUGAUUUCCUCACAAAGCUAUCUGCAAUAAGACAGGCUCAAAGUGAACGAAGGAAAGCAAGGGAAGAGAAAGAAUUAGUUCGUGAAACUGGAGGGCCUGAAUUACAGACUGAAAUUCCUUUAUCUCCAUUAGAACCACCGAGCCUCAGCAGAGCUGAGAGUUUGCAAUCACCUGAAACAGGUGAAAUUUUGGAAAAACCUCAACCUGUAGACACCGUUCUUCUAAAUGCUGACUAUGAUCAUGAAUCAGUACUUGAAGAAAAGGAAAAAGAUGAAACGAUUCCUGACCCUAAAAUUGAUAAGGAUGUUGUAAAAGGUGAAAAUGAUGAUUUGCCAGUAGAUUAUGAUAUUAACUGGGAAGAUUCCCAAGGAGAAUGGAUUGAAGAGUAUUCAGAUGAACAAUGGGAAGAUGAAGGUGAGGGACAGUGGGUUUCACUUCAAAAGAAAUUUCACAAUAUGGAGAAAGAAUUAGCAGAGGAAGCAAUGCAGAUGGCUUCUUUAUGGGAAAAAGAGGAAUUGGAAGAUGAUGUGUUUGAAGAGGAUGAGCCUCCAAGUGUAAUUGAAGUUCAUGUAAGUGAAGUAGAUCGCCUUAAAUUGGAACAAGAUGAAAAGUUUGAGCAGUGGGUAAAAGUCAAUCUAGAAAAAAAUUUGUCAGAAGCAGAAGAAGAAGCGGCAAAUGAACAGAACCUUGCUGUAGAAAUGAAUCCAGAAGCUAUGUCAAAAAGUGUUGAGCUUGAUGAUACUGCAAUGAGGGAUUCACCUCUGCAACAUUAUCCUACUGAGUUUGAUCUGUCAAGCAAAUCCUUUGCUGAACCAGAUUGGAUCGAAGUUGAAAAAAAUGCCCUCGAUCUUUUAAAAGAUGACGAGGCAGAUUUGUUAGAAACUGUAGAAUUGAAAGAUCAGGAAAGUUUACAAAGUGAAACUGCACCCUUACAAGAUGAACUUAAAGAGCAAAUAGUGCAUGAACAAGAAAACAGUGACACAGAAUGGGAAAAGAUUGAAUUUGAGGAAAUAAAAGAUGCUUAUGAGCAAUAUUUAUCUGAUAAACCUCAUUCAGAUGAAGGUCAAGUUUCAACCACUGUUAGGGAAGAGCAUAAAGAAUAUUUAGACGAUUUAACAGAAUCUGUUGUAAAGCAAGUUUUAGAAGAAGAUUUGCCAACUGAGCCACAACAAUUGGCUUUUGAAGAUGUAAAUAUCGUUCAGAGUACUAUGGGUACUAGUAAAGGUACUUUUAAAGAAGUCGAAGUAUCUGAAAAGAAAACUACUCCUGAUAUCCCUCCCCCACGACCUCCUGCAAGGAGAAAAUCAAAAUUGAAUGUUUCAGCUAUAGAAGAGGCUUUGAAAAAUGUUUCUCAAACUUGUGAAGUAUCUUCAGAAGAAGUUGUAGUCCCCCCUGCUUUGCCGUUGAAACUAAAAGAUAAACAUUUUGAACAAAAUGUUAAAAUGGACAUUUAUGCUGUUCCCGAUAAAGCUAAUAAAUUGGCAGGCACUAAGACUGAUAAAACAACUGAAUUGAAAUUAGAAACAGUUGCUUCAAACAUUUCUCAAGAAAAAGAGCUUGAAUCUCCUCCAGCGAAACCACCAAGGCUUACCAUACCAACUCAUGAGAGAGACUUUUCCAAAGAGCCAUCACCCGUGACAUCAUUAUCUAAUGAAUCAGAUUCUAACUGUUUUGCUGAUUCAGAGUCUGAUCCAGAGAUAAAGAUUAUUCGUCAAAAAAUGCACAGGAAAUAUUCAAAGCAUGAAACUGAAAUAGAAUUUGAAGAUGAUCUUGCUGACUUUGAGAAUGAAGGAAAUAUUAUACUCAGUAUUGAAAAUGCUUCUAAAAAACAGCGCUCUUUUGAAUUUGAUCCUGAACUGCCAACACCUGAAGGAAUUCGUGGGCAUAAAGAUGAUAUUUCAUCCCCGAAAGCGUUUAGAGAAGGUACGGCUAGACCUCUUCAGCUUUUCAAAGCAUCAAAAGUGGAAACAACUCCUGCACCCAAUUCACAAGCAGAGCUAAAGGAAAUUUCUCUGAGUGAUAGUCUUAAAAAAGUUCAUUCAAGUGACCAGGAAAGCAUUGAAAAAGUGAUUGAUCAGUUUUCUAAUCAGGUAACAACAACUUUAACUUCUGCUGCAAACGUUAGUGAAAAUAUACCUGCAUCAUCUUCUUACUACAAUGUGACUUCCGUUAAGCAAAAUAACCAAAUGAUGGCGCAAAUGCUUUCAGAAGUGGAAAGAAUAAACAAUCAACAAGUAAUGGAACAAAAUAAUGAAACAAGUAAUUCUGCUUUCUAUUAUAAUAUUCAUGAACAUCCACAGCAGCAUAAAUUAAAUGAAACUCAGACUACACCAAUUGUUACUUCCAGUAUAACAACUGAACCUUCCAUUAUUAAGGAUUCUUAUGAACUUCCAGCUGUUGAUGUCUCACAAAAUAUUGAAGCAAAAGUUUCAAAUGAAAAUGAAGAGCAGUUAAUGUUUACUGAAAUGGAAGCAACCUCAGCUGCCGCUGAUUACUUUUUCGGGCGUUAUAAUGAGAUAACUGUACCAAAACCAAAGAAAAAAACUGUUGUAAUUAUAGGCAAAUCUGGUAUGCCUGCCAUGCCUAAACCAUUACCUUCAAGUCAAAAAAAGACAAGUCCAGUUGCUAAACAGCAAACUAAGGAACAGAGUGCUGAAUCUACUCUUGGCUCUAAGUUAGAUUCUAAAGAAAUAGCUUCAAAAUCAGAAACUGGUUCAAAUGAAGUUUCUUUUCCCACCCUAAAGAAAGGAGAAAUAGUUGUUUCAAAACCUAAUGUAGAACCUGUUCAGGUUCACGCUACUCAGUUUAGUCAAAAUCUCCCAGUCCAGGUAACUGCAGCAACUAAACCUCAAAUCAUUGAUACAGCUGCAGCUCAGGAAACAGCUCCAGUUGAGACUCUAUCAUUUGCCGAAGAUUACUUUUUUGGUUCAUAUAAUGAAGUCCCCGCUCCAAAGAAAACUAAAAGCAAACCCACUGGAGUAAAAUCAAAAGUAACCCAGCCAUCAUUAUCUCAAUCGCAAAUGCUACAAGGACAAUCAUUCUCAAGUCCAUAUGAUUAUGAUGGAGAAAAUAUAUCGCCUAUUAUGGUAGGUUCAAUGCCACCCAUUUCAGAAGAAUGUGAUAGCUCUGAAAUUAUGACUCAGAAUUUAAGCAUGUCUGUGGCUGCUGGUAGCCUACGAGAAUCAAAUGUAAAUGUAGAUGACCGAGUAAGAACUGUCCAUUUUGAAGAAUCUUUGCCUCCUAUUGCUCCUCCUCCAAGAAAAAAUAGGAUCCAAAAUGGUGCAACAAGUGAUACUGUAUCCAAGGAAUUCCCCACUGCCAUUCAGCAUAGUGAAUUGGCUAAAAAAAAACUUCCUCCCUGUAGUGGGGACUUCAAAAUAUUUCAAGGUCACGAUCCAUGUGAAUUACCCUGUGAAGUCCUGUCACAGCCCUCUGACAUAUCUGAAAGAUCUCUAUCCUCUGAGAUUAAUACCCAGUCCUCUGAAGAGUUGAAUAAUAUAUUUAAUGCAUAUUUUAGAGAAGAAAAACUUCUACUAGAUGAGACUGAAAAAUCUUCAAAUGUAAAUGUUAUAUCUGAUGUAUCUAUGCCUCAACCAUUUGAGGAUUACGUGGUUAUUUCCUCAUCAGAAGACACUAAUAAUCAAAAUACUCCAAAUUAUGUACCAUUUACCGAAAUAAAGCCUGGUAAUUUGAUGGAAAAUGUAAUUGCUGAAGAAAAUAAUGAGACGUUUCUUGAGCUUGACUGCAAGUUAAAUAACAAAAAUUAUGAUUCUAUGAGUGCUGAUCCUUCUGUAAUAUCUCUUGAAAAAAAUAUUCCAAGAUAUGAAACAAUAUCAUCCAAUAAAAAUAUACUGCAUCAUGAAGAUAAUAAUUUGUCUUUGAUUCAUGAUAGUUGUGAUGAGGAUGAAUUUCAAUUUGUUGAGCAGUCUCAGAAUGUAAUAGAUGAAUAUUGUGAUUUGUAUUUGCCAGGAAAUUUUAGCAUUGCCACAACUAAUGAAGUAGAAAACUUCAAUGUUAAAAAUAACUAUCAGGAUACUACAUAUGAUAGUGAAUAUGAAUGGAAACUAAAUGAAGAGAGAAAAAACUCAUUGAAUGCUAGUUUUAUAGAAAAAUCAUUGCAAGAUUCCAACAAAGAAACAUAUUCACCUGAUAUUACAAAAAUAGAGAAACUUAUUAUAAACGAAUCGGAAAUUAUUCCUGGUGAAAUUGAAACAGUUACUCCCUUGACUGUAACAAUGGUUGAUCAAGCUGGGGAAAAUGUUGAUCACAGUAAGAAUUACGCUGAAAGUUUUGUGGCACCAAAUGAAGUAUUGUGUAAAGAAGAAUUCAGUGAAAAUCAAUUGAAUCACGAGAAACUAAGUGAUGAUUCUGUAGAAAUCUCUAUCAACAAGCUUGUUUCUGGCGAACUGGACACUUCUUUGCAGCAUGAAAUAUUAAGUUUAAAAGAAUUAUGUGCUGCAGAUUUGGCACGUAAUCAAAUAACAGGUCCUGAAUCUUUAAGUGAUGAAGAUAUUUCUGCAGUUGAAUUGUUGCAUAAAGACAUUUCUGAUUCGCAAGAAAAUUAUUUGGAAAAUGUUACAAACUUGGACAUUUCUCAUUCAGAAGAAAGUUACCUGGAUAAUGUUACCUCUUCAGAUGUUUCUCAUUCAAAUGAAAGUCACUUAGAUAAUGUAACGCCCUCAGUCAUAUCUCAUUCUCAAGAAAGUUAUCUGGAUAAUGUUACCUCUUCAGAUGUUACUCAUUCAAAUGAAAGUCACUUAGAUAAUGUUACACCCUUAGACAUUUCUCCAAUCCAAAAAAGUUACCUAGAAAACGCUAUUUCCCCAUUGCCUUUAGCUGUGUUAUGCCAUUCAGUUACAGAAAGUUCUUUACAAUUCAACAAAUCAGAAAGCAUUGCAGAGCAAAAUGUUACAAGUGAAUUGACAUCUCUUUUACCUGGUACCGAACUAUCUUCAUCAACAGAAGCAUAUGCAACUAGUGAUGAGUGUCAAAACAUAAAAGAACCAUAUGCAAAUAUCAAAUUGGAAUAUGAUGUUGAAUAUAAAAACGAAUCAAAUUUUUCUGAUGAUCUAUUUUUAACCGAAAAUUUAAAGUCUGGUGACAAUGAAAAUUAUCUAAAUGAAUACUGUCUAAACUCACCUAUAUCUGAUUCUAAAUACAUUUCUCAAGAGACGGAUGUCAAAAAAUCAGAUCUUACCACAGAAACAUAUUCAUUUGAAGAAAUAGAUGCUAUAUCUGAAAUUGCAGAUACCGAACAACAUGGAGAGUUCAGACAAUUUUUAUCUCAAGAAAGUGACACAACUCAACAAAGUGGGCUUUUCCUUGAAGAAACAGAGACAAUUUCUAAUUCUUCAGAUCUUAAUAAAAGCACUGAUCCUCCUCACUUACAAAUUUCAGAAGAGCCAGAUUUAUCUUUGAUGUCUCAUUUUUAUGAUGAGUGGUUUGAUCAUGUAAUACCGAGUGAACCUUUAGAAACAAAGAAGGAUUUUUUAAGUAUUUACGCAAGAUAUAAUGCUUCAGAGUCCUCAGCAACAAGUUCAGGCAAUAUCAGUGAAUCUGAAGACUUUGUUGAUAUGAAGAAGGAAGAUUUUGUCGCAAUUUCUACUAGUUCUGAUGAUGGUUUAAAAUUAAAUUUACUUCCUGACACAUUUGAAAAUGGCAGUCAGUUGAAAGAGAAGGAUUUUUUGCCGAAACAGAAUAUUUCUUUGGUUUCUACAGAAAUGGAAUUAGCAGCUUCAUUUCAGGAAACUGAUACUAACUUUGUUUCUGCAAAUAUCUACCCUGAAGAAGAUUUUCAAUCUGAACGAGAUCAUUAUGAAACAUUAUCAUCUCAAGAAGAGUUAUCUGAUGUAUCAACUUUUCAAAAAUCAAAGAUGACUGAAGAGGAGGAUGGCAUUGUUUCUGACCGAAUAAGUGAGACCGAAGUUUCAAUUUCAGCUUCUCUUAAACAGAGAAUAUACAAAACUAGCAAAGGCUGCCAAACAGAAGAAAGCUUUGAAGAAGAACAAUUUUUUGAUUCAUUUGAUGAUACAUUUACUAUCCCUUCUUUUAUUAACAUUCCUUUUGACAACAAGACUAGUGAUCAACCAAUUAAAUCAGAAAUCGGAGUUCAGUGUUCUAUGAUAUCUGAAAAUAUUUAUCCCCUUUCUAGUAAUAUUUAUAUAGAGAAUAAAUCUAUUUUAAAAGUGAAUAGCCUGUCACCAUCCGGUCAAGAAUUAGAAUUUGUUGAAGAUUUUUAUGAAGAUGAUUCAGAAAUGCAUUCAACUGCUAGUACAGUGCAGAAAAGUUUGAUGACUCCUUUAAAUAGUGAAGAGAAAAAUUCUAGUACUUCUGAAUCACUUGAAGAUUCAGAUUCUGAUAUUUAUCUUGAAUCACCUUCUUCCCAUGAUGAGCUUGAUAUAGAUAGUGAAAAAAAUAAGAGUAUGAAGUAUUUCCUUUGUGCUGAUGUAGAUUCUGAUACAGGUUUUAGUUCAGGAAGCGAGACAGGCAAGCAUUUCAUGCGGAAUAAGAAAAUGCAUUGUGAAAAGAAACAAACCAUACCAUCUUGCAGCACAACGUCAAAUGAAAGUUAUAUGGAGAUCGAAAGAACUCAAUCAGAUGUGGAUAUCUUGGAACACUCUUUGAAUAAUUCAUUUCUUGAGGUAUUUCAAGAAUGUGAUAUUAUUAAAGAUGCUGGAGUUCAGUCUAAGGAUGGUGUAUCAAGCACCCAAUCUCUGACUGUGAACCUGCAGUGUGUUUCUGAUAUUUGUGUUACUAACAUCUUAACACCUGAUUCAAAACAGUUAAAAAUAAAAGAAUUUGAAUCAAAUGAAACUGAUCAAGCUAAUGUCAUUUAUAAUGAAGAAACUUUAAAACUUGACUCAAAUGUGAAUUAUUCAGAAGAAUCUGAAAAUGUAAAAGAAAUUGCAGUAUCCCAUGAAGAUUUUGAAGAACAGUUAGAAACUGAAUUAUCUUUAAAUACUCCUGUGCAAAGCACAGUUAAUUUAGAAAUUCUUUGUGCAUCGCAAGCACAUAAUCAAGUACAAAAGGUUGGAGCUGAAUCAGUUCUAAUACUUAGUCAAUAUGUUGAAUCUGUUAUUGAAGCAGGUAUUGAAAAAGCAUCAUCACUCUUGGAUGAGGAUCAUUUUGAAAUUACUGAAUAUGUGCCAGACAGUCUACCUAACAAAAGUGCUGUUUUUAAUGACAAUAUUGGAAGCACAGUAGCACCCAUUGUAAUACAGAAAGAAAAUUAUUCGAAUCAAAAAGCUUCUAUUUGUACUAGUUCAACAAAAGAGACUUUGUUAAACUCAGAGAUUCAGAUUGAAAACGUUGAAAAUAUAAUUGAAUUUCAUUCAGGUGAAAAAAUUGUUAGUACAAUUGUUGAAAGAGAAAAAUCAGUCUUGAAUGAGAUUACUGAAGAGAACAAUCUCUGUAGAAGUUUGGAUAUAAAAAGUGCUCAAUCUGCAGAAGUUAAUGUUAAUACCAUUGAAAGGGCUGUUACUCCAGUUUCAAUAGAAAAAUUUCCAUCCAUUGAAUAUGAUAUGAGGUUUGUUGAUGUUGAUGAUGCUCUUGCAGAAACGAUAAAUGAUAAUGAAAUUGAGUGUGAAAGUUCAACACCCACUGUGGAGUACUUUUAUGGGUCUUUGCCUUUAUGUGUACAAAGUGAUCUAGAAAGAAAAGAAAGUUUUUAUGAAGCUUUAGAUAUACUCGAUGAAUGUGUUAUGAACUUGGAAAGAAAUAUAAUUGAAAAUGAAAACUUUUUUGAUGCAUUCUCUACUGAGAAUUCAAACUUGCAAGCUCUAAUCACAGAAAAUGAAGAUGUUGAAAGAUUUGAUGAUGCUGAUUCAUCCCUGGCUGAAGAAAGUUAUUUUAAUUCUGAUAGCGUCUCUGAGUAUUUCCCCAUUACUAGUUCAGAUUUUGGCGAACAACUAAAUAAAAAUUCCAAAAUCUUCAAAAAACAGCUUGACUUUAAUGCCCCAAAAAAUAAUGAAUUAGUUGUAUUAAAUAAUGAAUUAGUAGAUGUUAGAAGUACAAGUGCCAUUAAACAGUCCAGUUUUGAAAAUGAUGAAUUCAGCGAAUGUGCAUCUGUCAUCAAGCAAUCUAACUAUGAGACUGAAGUCAAUGAUGAAUUCAUGGAAUGUACAAAUGUCAGCAAACUGCCCAGUUUGAAGAAUCUAGGAAAUAAAUAUGUUGAAUGUUCAAAUGUCACCCAACAAUAUAGCUUUGAUGAUCAAGAAAAUCAAGAGUUCAUUGAAUGUUCAAAUGUCAUAAAAGACUCUAGCUUUGAAAAUAACGAAAAUGAGUUUGUUCAUAGUUCAGUUGUUGUUGAAAAAUCUAUCUUUGAGACCCCAAAUAAUGAUAAACUUGUUGAGUCUGUAAAUAUCAUCCAGCAACCUAGUUUUGAAAAUGAUGAAUUUGUGGAAUGCAUAAAUGUCAUGAAACAGUCUGUAUCUGUAAAUCUAGAAGACAAAUUUUUUGAUAGUUUAGUUGACAUCGGCAAAAGUGAAGAAACAACUCAUCUUAGCUCCAUGUCUGAUGAAGUUUCCUCAAGUAUCCCUUCAUAUAGUUCAGUAAAUACAGAUGCAACUCUAAAGGCUAAUGAUUCUGCUACAACUCAUCUUAGCUCCAUAUCUGAUGAAGUUUCCCCAAGUAUCCCUUCAUAUAGUUCAGUAAAUACAGAUGCGACUCUAAAGGCUAAUGAUUCUGCUACAGAUAAGAAAAAAGUUUUUAAUAAUGAAUGUUCUAAUGAAUCUUUGGAGAAUAAAGAACAUGUUCUUGUGGAAAAUAAAGAAAUUGCUUCAGAUGCAGAGUAUAGUGAAACAAAAUUUAAACACUCUGGAAUUCCUACAGCGCCAUUAAAUGAUUCUGUCCAGUUUGAAGAGAAUUUUAUAACUGAUGCAAAUGAAAAUUCUAUACCUGCUCAGGACGAACAAUCAGAUUACUUUGAAACUAAAUCUGUCAAAGUCUCAUCUGAAAUAGAGAUCUUUUCAAAAGUGGAAGUUUCAGGAAAGAGUAAACUUUAUGAACAGGAUCACUUAGAAAAUAUAAAUGAGAGCCAAAUGCAAUCAUCAAGCACUGAUGAACUGAAACCAGAAAUUCUUCCUUUUGUUGAUGAAAAAAUAAUUUCUAGUGCUGAAUUAGUAACUUCAGAAGUUAAUACAACUGCUCUAGUCACAGAAAACUCUGAAACUUUAGAAAUUGUUUCAGUAAAAGACACAACACAAGAGUUUGAAGUGCCUAGAACUGAUGUACCUUCAACAGAGCAAAAUCUUCUUACGGAAAUAAGACAGGAGUUAGGAUUAAACAAAGAAGCCGAGUGUGGUGAUUCAAUUUUAAAAUCCGAGGAAAUUCCUCAUGUGCCAUCUGAUAUAGUUAGAUAUCUAUACUAUGAUGACUCAAUUAAUUUUGAUGAAGAUAUUCAAAAUAACAAUGAUAAUUCUUCUUUUGAGCAUGAGAUGACUCAGCAACCAUUAGAAUUGUUAGAAACUCCUUGCUAUGAAACAAUAGGUGAAGAAUUAAUUGUUGAAUAUGAAACUCAUUCCAGUAAUGAAGCUCAAAAAUUUCUUGACCCAUCAUUAUCUAGCACUGAAGCUAUAAAGUCACUAGAGUUAGAUGCUUCGAUUGAAACUACGGAAAUGUCUGAAAGCAUUGAUCAGUGGUUAGAUCUAGAUACAAGUAUGUCUUUACAAAAGUCUACUUCUGAUUUCCAAAGUAUUCAAGAACCUGAGGCUAAACCUGUAUUCACAUCAGGUCAAAUAGAAAGCAUGAACAUUGAAGUGGGUGCACAAUUCGAUGCUUAUCAACAAUUAUGUGCCACUGAAAAAUCAGAAAGCUCUGAUCAAUAUUUAGAGUUAGACCUUAGUAAGUCUCAGCAAUUAUCAGACUUCCAAAGUAUUCAAGAGUCCGAAGAUCAAAUUAAACCUAGAGUGGGCGGAAUGGAACAUGAAGGGUCACACUGCAUUCCAAUGUUGCUACUUAAAAAAGAUAAUGAUGCUGCUGCUACUGAUAAAUUUGAGAGUGAUGAUGUGACUGAUAUAUCUACUCAUUUUACUAUGACUGAUGAUUCAGAUAAAUUAUCUGAAAUCGAAAGUGAUAUCUCACUUACUGAUGAUAAUUGUUAUUUUGAUUUUGUUAAUACAGAUCAUAUCAGUGAUGUUGAACAGAAUAUGAAUCAGGAAACAAAUGGAACUAAAUUGGAAAUCUCACAAAAGUCAUCUUUUAUUGACAAUAAAGCUCAAUUGCAAUCAACUACUAGAGAUCAAUCUGUUGAAAUAAAUAUAAAUCAAACUACAGACUUAAAUGGAAAUAUAACAGCCGACAAAAUUGACUCCAGUAUGUCUUUAGUAAAAGAUCCUCAGAACUUGCAAGACUCAUCAAAUCCAGUUUUGUUUGAUGAUACUACUGAGAUAAAAAGUUUCCCAGUUAUUGAAAAAGAACAAUUAGAGAUAAUUGUUGAUCCACAAUUUUCUUUAAUAAAUGAGGCUGAUUUACCAUAUAUAGAAAAAAGUUUGAUGUGUCAACUUGACACGUCUGAGUAUUAUCUUCCAACUGAAAAUAUUGAAACUGAAAGUGAGGAAUAUGUGUCAGAAGUUGUAAGUAGUAUGCCUGAAACUGAUAUCAAAUACUCUGAGAACAAGGAAGUAGAUUUAGAAUCUCCAAAAUCCAUAGUAACUGACCAAAUUAUUUUAUUAGAUCAAAGAGAUAUCUCUGAGUUCAGAACUGAUAAUGAGAAAGACAUUAUUGAAAAAUUUUUUCAUAAGAAAGAAAUUAUGACAUCUCCGGAAUUCACCAAAACUCAUCUAAAUACCUCAGUAUUUGAAGCUAUUGAAGACUCUGUCAUAGAAAAGAAUAAAGAUGAUAAAAAAUUUGAUGACGAAGAUUUAAAUAUUCAUACCGAAAUAACAACAUUUGCUUCUGCUAUAUCAAGCUCUGUAGAUUCUACUAACAAGGAUGACAAGAAUAAUAAUUUAACUGUGAAUGAAUUCAACAUAGCAGAAAAAGACAAUGAAGGUUUUAAAGAUGUUCAGAAGCAACUUGAACUUUUGCCAGGUAUGAAUGAUGUUAUGGAGGCUGAAUCUAUUUCUAACUCAGACGACCAGAGGAAAGACAGUUUAGCAUUGGAAAAAGAUAAUUUUAGUUAUCGUCAAGAGUUUAAAAAUGAAGUUGAUGUGAAAGAAAAAUUUCCUUCUGUGCUAGAUUUGGAUGUGGCAGUUGUUGUGGGAUCUGAACUCUCCCAAAAGGAUUCACAAGUUAUUCUAGAAAACAAUCUAACUUUACCUCAGGAUUGUGACGUUGAAGAAACAGCAGUGUUUGCAUUCAAUCCUGUUAUAAAAGACUUAAUUAGUGUAGAUAAAGGAAUUAUUUCUAAUCUUGACAUUCAAAGAGAAAUAAAUAGCAAAAUUUCACAUGAUCAAACUGAUUUACAAUUACCUGAAAAAUGUGAAGAAAUUGAUUCAACUGUGGACUUUAAAGGCCAUCCAUUUAGUGCUGAAAAAAAGGUGAGUGACUCUGAACAUAUUGAUUUAAAUUAUUCUUUACUUACGAAAAAAGAAAUCACUACAGUCGAUUUUAAAGGAGUACUUCUUGACAAUGAGGUGAAAGAAAGUGCUAAAUCUAAUAGUGAACAGUUUUCACCCUCAAUUGAUACUGAAGUUUUUAAAACUGUUGAUUUUAAAGGACAUUCUGUUGGUGAUACUAUUGAAACUACUCAUACUGAAUCCUUGAAAUCAUUGCAUUUGGCUUGCUGUGAAGAAAAUAGUUCUUUUGUUGAUUUUAAAGGAGAUUUUAUUGAUGACCCAAAAACUUUUAAACAAGUUACAGAACCAAAAUUAAGUACCUUACCUAAGCAAUCUGAAUUACUUAAUCAGGAAGAAUCUAGCUAUACAGUAAAUUUCAAAGGUAUUCCCAACUUUGAUCAAAAGGAUGUAACAGAAAUUGAAUGUACUACAUUAAAUGAAUUUGAUAAUUCAGAGCCAUUACCUGUUAAAGACUCUGAAUUUUUCGUUGACUUUAAAGGCUGCCUGUUGAACAAAGACGCUUAUGAACAGAAUACGUCCAGCUCAAAGCAUGACACAUUUGAUUUAAAUAGUUGUGAAACUGUGGAUUUUAGAGGGAAUUUAAUUAAUGAUCUAAAAGUAGAAAAGGCAAGUGAGCCAAUUAGUGAUAAAGCCUCUGCUGUUGUUAAUUUUAAGGAACAAUUUUAUGCAGGAUCCAAUACAUCUGUUUGUAAGGAUUCUUUAAUAUCUUUAACUGCUGACAUUUCAGAGGAAGAUUUAUCAACUGUUGAUUUCAAAGGUCAUUUUACUCACCCCCAAAUACUUUCUAGUUCUGAAAUUAAUGAAAAAGUUGAUUCUAAUUUGACUAUAAAGGAAAACGACAGAAUGGGAAAUUUUAUCAGCCAAGUAGAUGACGAAAAAGCAAACAUUGAAUAUGCUAUUUCAGACAAAACAGCCAUGUUAAAAAGUGAAGCAUUAUCAGAAAACGCUUUCUCUUCUGAAGUGCAUUCUGAAACUGAUCAAUCAUCUCUCGUUGAAAAUAUUAUUUCUGAAAAAAUGAUUGAAACAUCUAUGGUUGAGAAUGGGAAUAAUAUUUUGCCUCAGUCUACACUUGAAAAAACAAAUGAUGAUGAGAACAACAGAUUAGACUUAUCCUUAAUUUCUGACAAAGAUUUUUCGGAAAUGUCAGAAAGUAAUUUACUUAGACAAGCAGAAAAAGAUACCAGAGUCAGCAUUUCAAAUAGUGAUGUUGAGAAUAGCUUUGUCUCUUGUAGUGGAACUGAAUCAACGCUUUUUUAUUCUAUGCGGGAUGACUCUGAGGAUACAUUGAAUAUAACAUCUGAUGAUGAUUUUACAGAUGUAGCUUCACAUGCUACGAUAACAGAAGAUACUGACAUGUGGUCUGAUGUGGAAGCAGAUUUGGAGGAUUUCUCGUAUGCAAAAGAAACUACUCCCACUAGGGAAUCAAUAAAUGCUGUGGAAAAUAUCACUUCUGGAAUGAUGUAUGAUGUUUAUGCAUCUGAAGUUUCAAAUAUUGAUGAUAAACUGUUUGGACACAAUGACAAAGAUAUCAAGGCUUCUAAUAUUCAACUUCAGCAUGUCAGUGAUAACAAUGACUUAGUUAUAAAUGUCGAAAAAAAUCUAUCCAAAAUUGAUAGUUCUAUUAUUUCUAAUGAUUCUUCAGUUAAUUCAAAUCAAUCCAUUGGAACUUUUGUCCUGGAAGAAGAAAUAACUAAUCAAAGUCAUGAGUUAGUGCUUUCUGAAAGUCCUUUCGUUGUUCUAGAGAGUCCAACUAAUAUAGUUGAGGAUGUUGCUCAACAAUAUUUGCCUGAUGAGAAUGAAGAAAAAGAAGUGGCGAAUCUCACAACUUGUGGUGGUGAAAUAACCUCUACAGAUUCUGAAAUGGCUAAAGACAUUAUUAUUAAUUUAAAUACCUCAAGUGAAAAACUAUCAAUAGAAAAUGUUGAUAAAUUAAAAUCCGUUGAAACUGAUGAAAUCAGUUUUGUGAAAUGUUCAGAAAUACUAGGUGGCACUAAUGAAAAGAAAGAUUCCAAAGUUCAGCUUCAAUCGCCUGAAGAUGAAAAUGUAGAACAAUCUGUCACUAACUCGAAAAAUGCUGUAUUGUUUAAUUCUGCAUCAGAUUUUGUUGAACAAGAAAUUGCUAAUGAUAUUUCAGAAAUCACAGCUGUUGAUGAUUCUACAGAUAUUGUAUCUUUUAACACUAUUUCUGAUGAAUGUGAACAAUGGUCAGAUACCGAGGUGACAAACUCGAUCGAUGAAGAUUUUUCACAUAAGAUGCAUUCAAAGACCCUGAAUAAAAGUGAAGAAAAAUCUUUUGAUGUAGGAGUAGAAUCAUUAGAAAUAAUGAAAAUCAGUAAAAUUGAGAAAGAUACUGUUGAGCAAUCUAUUAAAACUGAGAUUUGUUUAACAGAAAAUUUGAAACAACUGGAAACUGGAGAAAAAGCGAAACAAGUGUUGACAGAAAAUUUGGAGCAACUGGAAACUAAAGAAAAAACCGAACAAGUGUCAACAGAAAAUUUUGAAGCACCUGAAACUGGAGAAAAAACAGAACAAUUUAUUGAUUCAAAUUUAAAACCCUGCAAACUUUAUGACACUUCAUUUAAUGAAGCUAACACAGAAUUGACAAUGAUAGCUGAGGACAAUACUCAGUCAAUAUUUGAAAAGACUGAAAUUUGUGAAUCUAUUGAUCUUAGUAAGACAAAUAGAGAAAAUUUUAUAAACAGCACAGAGCAAUAUAUUAAAAUUCCUGAUACCUCAACUCCUGUAGCAAAACAGGAAGAUAUUGCUAAAAAACAAAUUUGUGAAUCUAAAUCUGAAUGCAAAGAGGUAAUUUCUGAAAAUUUUAAAAACAAUAAUGUUGAAAUAUUGUCACUGCCAUGUAAAGAAAAACUAAGUAUAUCUGAAUUGUCAGUAACUCCUGCUCCUUUGAAGGAAACAAAUGUUACUGAUAAUGAUGAUUCUCUUAUCAUUACUUCUGAUGAGGCCUAUACUGAUGCAAUAUCCACCUACUCUAAAUCAGAUGAAAAUGAGAAAUGGUCUGAUGUUGACGAAUUAAGUCUAUUAGACGAAUUUCCAUCCAUGAAUCCAGAGAAAUUACUGCCUUCUGAAAUCUCUGUUAAAGAAUGCUCUGCAAAUGAAAAGAUAGAACUAAAAGGCAUGAAGUUACAUGUUUCUUCUUCACCUGAUAAUGAGAAUAUUGUACUAAAUAAAUCAGAAAUCCAGGCUGAGUUUAAUUUGAAAGUUGGUAUAAAUUCAGCUUUGCCUAAAGAAACUUCAGAUGAACUUAAAUCUUUGGAAACUCCAAAUGUCACUACUGAAAAUAAAACUCAAAAGUUAAGUGAAACAUCUAAUGAAACAAGUGAGUGCAAAACAAGCAUCAUUAAGACUGUUACAGAACAGGAAGAAAAAUUUCAAAGUAAAAUUGAAACAUCUUCCACUGAAACUCCUGAAAAAGAUACUACGAAACAUAUAUUUGUUGAACAUUUCGCAGAAAUAAAAUCAUUAGGUGAAUAUCUGAAUGUAGUUGAAUCAUUUGCUGUGCUUGAUGAUGACAUCGCUAACCUGCAAACUCAUGAAGAAACAACGGAAGCGUCCUUACGUUUGGAAGCCACUGGAGACUCUGAUUAUUGGAUAGAAGCUGAUACUGAAUAUUCUAUAUCUGAGUUUGAAGAUGAAGAAAUAUCAUUGCCGCAUAAACAAAUGUCUGGCCAAUCAUCUACGCCAAUGCUGAGUGCUGUCGACAUAUCGGAAGAUAACAAAAAUUUCUUUUUAACUGCAUCUCGCCAUUCUAGUGAAAAUGCUACUGAAAUUUCAGUAUCAUCAUUUGCUACUGAUCCUGAACAAAUUAGUGAUACUUGUGCUGAUAUUUCCCUUCAAGGAGCUACAACUGAAAACUCUGAUAAAUGGUCUGACAUUGAAGGUGAUGGAUUAAUUGAUGAAGCUCUUUUUGGUCCUGAGCAACCAUUCGAAUUUGACAACUAUCCAUCUCCUUUUAAAGGUAUUGAUCCAAAUGUCAGUAAAAACGAUGUAGAUUUAAGUAAUAAUAAAUGUAAUAUUUCACCUGAUUCCAUUAAAGUGACAAAGAAUGAAGAUCCAUGUCCUGUAAUCAAGGAAAUUGCUAUACAGAAAGAAUCAAGUUUAUCAGAGACAUCAAAAUUGGUCACUUGUCAAGAGGAAGUAAUUCCUAAAGAACUCAGUGUUGAAUUAACGGAUAACAGAAAUGAAUCCACUUUAUCAGAAGUUUCUAAGCUGGUCACUUGUCAAGAAGAAGUAAUUCCCAUAGAACAGAGUGUAGAAUAUACUGAUAUGAAAAAUGAAUCAACUUCAUCAGAAACAUCAAAAUUGGUCAGUUGUCAAGAAGAAGAAAGUUAUUUAAAACAGUAUGUAGAAAUUUCUAAUGGGAAAAAUGAAUCAACUUCAUCAGAAACUUCUAAACUGGUCACUUGUCAAGAAGAAGUAAUCCCCAUGGAACACAGUGUAGAAUAUACUGAUAUGAAAAAUGAAUCGACUUCAUCAAAACUGAUCAGUUGUCAAGAAGAAGAAGAAAGUUCUUUAACACGGGAUGUAGAUUUAUCCGAUGUGAAAAAUGAAUCAACUUCAUCAGAACAAUCUAAAUUAGUCUCUUGCCAAGAAGAAUUAAUCCCUGUGGAACAUGAUAUAAAGAAAGAAACACGUGAUCGAAGUUCUUUUCCUCAGCAUCAUAAAACUGAUCUUUUAUCUCGACCUUCAGUAUCAUCAGAUGAUGAGUUUACUAAUGUUACUCCUUUAGGUACGACUGUUGAAGAGUCAGAUAAAUGGUCUGAUAUAUCCGACACAUCUAUUGAGGAAAUGGAAGAUGAAAGUGCAUCAGUUUCAUUGCGAGAAAAAGUGUGUGAUAACAUGUUACCUUUGGAUAACAAUUUACCAACUGAUGUAAAAUCUGAUAUUCAAGUUGAGGUUAUGAUGGAAGAUAAUGAUAGUAAGCAAGAUAAAUCCCCUAAUUUUAGCUCCUCUACUUUUGAUGUUGAAACUAAAUUAAAAAAUGUUAAUGUGAUUGAAAAUUUAACUUACAUUGACGAUACUGAACAAACUAAUAAUUCCCCAGACAUCAUACCAAAAUUAAAUGAAACCUAUUUCGAACAUGAUCCGUUGGUUGAAUCUGAAAGAGUUACUGAAGAUUUGCAAUCUUUAUCAAGAAGUCCUGAAGUUGUCACAGAAGAUGCUUAUGAAAGCCUGGGGGAUGAAGAAUUUGUUGAAGAAAUUGAUGAAUUUAAUGAGCAGUAUGAAGAUGAGGAAAUGUAUGAAGAAGGUGACUAUCAUAAUUUUAACACUCCAUAUGUAAUCAAUGAUGAUGAGUUUGUCUAUCCUAUACAAUACACCGACUGGAUUGAAGAAAGCUUUGAUUUAAAAGAAUAUGGUAUUGAUGCUGUGUUGUCUGGUUCUGAAUCGGAUAUUCAUGGAUAUGGAAUAGCUGAUGAAUUUGAAGCUAUAGAGCGAACGAUUGAUAUGAAUGUAAGCAAUUUUGAUGAAACUUUAGAAAGUUUUAUGGAGGAAGAAAGAAAUUUAACAACUGAAAGUUUUAAAACUUUUUCAAAUGGAACUGCUUCCCAUUUGAAACCGAGUGAGCAAGAACAUGAUAGCUGGUCCACUGCUGAUGCUGCUUCUAUUGAAGAUGAUUUGCCUGAACAUGAUGAUGUUUUAUCAAAAAUCGAUGAACUCUUAGCUGUAGAUUUUAAGGAGUUUGAUGUGUAUCAGGAAAAUGAACAUGAUAGGGAAUUUGAAAGGGAGGGACUUUCUCCACUUGAGGAAUUUAAUGAGCAAGAAGAGUUUGAUCAAGAAAUUUCUGCAUUCCAAAAUGAAAAGCUUAUAAAUACUGAGGAAAUUACUUGCUUGAAAGAACCGCCAAUUUUGCUUGAUGAUGAAAAUACUAAUUUAAGAGAUUUUGAGUUUAAUAAGGAUUUGACUGAUAGUAAAACAUGCGACCAGAAAUCCAAUGAUCAAAAGACCUCUUUGAAAGAUAGUGAUGAAAAUACCAAUGAUUCAAUCCCACCAAAUCAUUCUGAUAUAGCAAUCAUAGAAGACAUAAAGAAGGAUAAGAUUUCUCAUAACACGCUACCACAAACACUUGAGAUUGGCAAUUUCAAAGAUAAUCAAACUAGCACUCAGUCUGAAUGUAACGUUGAUAAAACAAUUUUGAAGAAAGAAAAUAUUCAAUCUAAAAUUGAAAAGGAAUCAGGGGAAUCCAAACUCAUUAAACAAAUUGAUGAAAAAGUUGAAACUAAAAAUAUUCCAGAAUCUGUUGUUGAAGAGCAAAAAUCAAAGCCUUCUGAAAAGAUCAUGACAACUUCAUCCGAAAAAACUGUGCAAGUGCCAAAAUCAUCUCAACAGUCUACUGAUGUUGAGUCACGAGUUUCUGAGAAAAACAAAAGUGAAAAUAAACUUCCUUCCACAUCGUUAGAUUCUAAUUUGCUUACAAAAAUCCCACCUUCAUCAGUUGAAACUAAAAAUGAAACCUCUUUUUAUUUAGAACCCGAAAAAAGUAUACCUAUAGUUAAAUCAGAUGUAAAUUCUAUUCUGUCUGAAAAUAUUGACGAACAAAAACCAGACAUUCCAUGUAAACAAAGAGGCAAAAUAAAAGAAACUACUGUAGAACUGCCUACAGAUGCUAUUGUUUCAAAAAGUGUACCAGUAACAACUAAUAAAUUAACUGUUAGCAACUCUGAUAUUUCUAUUGUUGAACUCGGAUCUGAAGAUCUAAAAGUUGACAUUCCAGUAAUAAAAGAAAACGAGCCUCAGAUUUCCGAAAAAAUUGAGGCACCAGCUCUUCCUCGUAAAAGGAGAAGAGAGGUGUCAACAUUGGAAAGAAAUUCGACAUCAUCUUCUUCUGAAUCGCUAUCUUCUCAAGAAUCGUCAUUAUCAAAACAGGAAUCCUCUGCAAGUGAUGGUGCCAUUCCUGACAAGCCGGUGCGACGUAGAAGAUCUGUUCAGUCACCAGCUGUUCCAUCAAGAAGGAAAAGUAGUAGUGAUGGUAGCACUUCAUCCACAAGUAGAUCUUCUAUGCAUUCCAAAAGUUCUCCGGCUCCUGAUCUGUCAAGAAAGAGGUUAUCAAUUGAUGAGCGUGUUGCCAAACUUCAGAGUGAAGGUAAAUGUACAAAUAAAGAGAUCGCUUUCAUUGCUGCAAAACUCAUUGAGAUGCAGUUUGAAGAAGAAGAUGCCUUGCUAGCUUCAAAACAGUGUAGUAGUGUUUAUCAUGCAGUAAAAUUUUUAACUCAGCUAUGUGAGCUGUGUAAUUGUCGAUUUCCAAUAAAUAUGAUGGUAUCCAUGAUUCAUUGUACACAUCGAGCUUGCAAAGAUUGUUUGAAAGCCCAUUUUUCAGCUUUAAUUCAUGAUCGGAGCAUAUUCAGUCUUCUGUGUCCUAUUUGUCAUUUACCAGAUAUAACAGAUCAAAAUAUACAGGAAUAUUUUAAUCAUCUUGAUAUGAUGCUUAGGAAUGUGUUGGAAAGUGGCAUUUAUGAUCUAUUUCAACGGAAACUGAGGGAUGAAGUUCUGACCAAAGAUCCUAAUUUUCAUUGGUGUUCUCAAUGUUCGUCUGGUUUUAUUGCAAGCCCUCGCUUGAAAAAGUUGUAUUGUCCUGACUGUUCAGCUAUCACCUGUGCAUCAUGUCAUCAAACUUGGGAAUUGGAGCAUGAAGGUGUUCAUUGUGAGCGUUUCCAGCAAUGGAAAGACAUGCAUACACCUGAACCACCUCCUGCUGGCUUAGUUAAAUAUCUUACAGAUAGAGGGAUAACAUGUCCUUCAUGUGGCCUCAUAUAUAAUCAAGCGUGCGCUGGAUGUUUAAUGUAUAAAUGCUCUCACUGCAGUCAUGAAUUUUGUGGGUUUUGUUCAAGGGAUGUAAAGAGAGGAAAAGAUUGUCAGAAUAAGAGCUGUGAUUCAAGGGGGACACACGUCCACCAUCCAUAUAACUGUCUUUUCUUCAUUAGAGACAAAGAAAUCUCUGAUAUACAGAUGCUUUUAGAAGAAGAAUCUGUUGAAUACUUAACCAUUCCACCAAAAGAUCAAAUAGUGAAAAGUCGAUGCCAAGUGCGCGAGCAAAAGCAUAUCCAUGGAGCCCUAUCUGAAGACAGAUGUGGUCGUGAUAUUGUUCCAUAUUGUGCUGGUCUCUGCAAAACACAUUAUUAUGAGUACUUGGCUGAACUACUGAGGAAAAAGAAGCUCAAUUCAUUGUCCAUAAUGACCACACAAGAUUUGGAAUUCAUGCUUCGAAAAAGUCGUGUUUUUGUUCCUGAGAAAGUAAAAGGGGAAACAAGUGAAGAAUACUACAAAAGAAUAACUCAAGUUGUCAACACCACACUGACCUGAUGAAAUUUUACAAUCUUUAAUUCUUCAAUGAAUGUAUAUAUUAUGAGAAUUACUGUGUACUUGUCUUCUUGUUAGUUCUAAGAACACAGAAUUAUCAAGUUUCCGUAUGUUAUUGAAGACUUAUUGUGUAAAUGAACAAAAUUCAGAAGAAAACCUUGAAAUCAUUCGCAAAUUAUAUUUGUUACAAAAAUUCAUAUGAAAUCCGUUUUAGAGAAAUUAUGCUAUUUAGAUAUAAAAGCAUUAAUAGAGAGAUUUUUUGUCAGAAAUAUCUAAAAACUAGCUUUUAAAUUUUGAACAAUUUUGCAAUUUAUUCUUCCAAAGUUCAUUGCAUUUCCAGAAAGGUAACGUUUUAAGUAAAAUUUUAUUCUGCAAAUUGCAGAGUUGUGAAAUUAUUUCUUCAGUUUUAAUUUUUUAUCUUUUGUUAGAUAAAAUAACUUGAAACAAUUUUCAGCAUAACAUUCAUUAUUAUAUCAUGUAUUAAUAGCAAGAUAAUAUAACAAAUAAAUUUUUGUAUUUAACUUCAAGUAAUAAUUUUAGUGCAUAAUAAUUGCUGUAUAUGAAUUUCAAGUUUUUCAGUGAAAUAUAAAAGCUAAUUUUAAUGUUUUGAUUUCAAAAUCCCACUGUAUUUCAACACCAAGGAAUCACAACUUUAAACAAAGUUUUAAAUGUAUAUUGUGUGACUUUUUACGUUAAAAAUAAUUUUAAAAAAACAUAUAACCAAGAAGCAUGAAUGGUUUAAAGAUUUUCUUCCUGAAUUUUACACUGAAUGUUGAUAGAUAAAGAGCUUAUAUUACUUAAACAAAGCACUAUUUAUUAUGUUUUGGCAACUACGUGCUAUUUUUGUGAUAACAUUGAGCCUGUUUUUAACAUCGUAUUUCAAAAAAAAAUUAACAUCUAAUCCAGCUUUCUGUUUUAGAACAUAUAUGCUAUGAUUCAAGCAUGCCAUGUAGUCAACUAAUCAAAUUGUAUUAUAAUAUAGUAAAGCAAUAUAUAUAUUUUCAUAGAAAAAUAACUAUUUUUUCAUAGAUGUUUUGUAAAUAUUUGUUUCAUGACUUGUAGUCUGCCAAGCCAAAUAAUCUAGUUUUAUGAGUAUUCUAGUCUCAGAGGAUUGUAGAUUUUUAUUUAUUUAUUAAUGAAUUUUAAUCACAUUUACCUUAACUCAAUGUAACCCUGGUAUGUUUUUCAUUUGAACAUUGAUUUGUAAAAGAAUAUUUUGAAUAAAGUUUGCUAUGUUAUAAAGUAA
rnacentral:misc_RNA from 1 species